AGGGGUGUAGCUCAGGGGAUAGAGCAGCGCUUUCCUAAAGCGAGUGUCGCAGGUUCGAAUCCUGUCACCUCUG
rnacentral:tRNA from 1 species